GACGAACGCUGGCGGCGUGCCUAAUACAUGCAAGUCGAACGCAGUGGGGACGGGUGCGUAACACGUGGGUAACCUCCCGUCAGAGGGGAUAAAACUUGGAUACAGGUGCUAAACCGAUACUGAUGGAUGAACCCGCGGUGCUUUAGCUAGUCGGUGGGGUAACGGCUCACCAAGGCCACGAUGCAUAGCUGACCUGAGAGGGGGAUCGGCCACACGGGAACUGAGACACGGCCCAGACUCCUACGGGAGGCAGCAGUAGGGAAUCUUCGGCAAUGGACGAAAGUCUGACCGAGCAACGCCGCGUGAGUGAAGAAGGUUUUCGGAUCGUAAAACUCUGUUGUUAGAGAAGCGGUAUCUAACCAGAAAGCCACGGCUAACUACGUGCCAGCCGCCGCGGUAAUAC
rnacentral:rRNA from 1 species